rnacentral:rRNA from 1 species
CUGAAUUCAGCGGCGGACGGGUGAGUAAUGCCUAGGAAUCUGCCUGGUAGUGGGGGACAACGUUUCGAAAGGAACGCUAAUACCGCAUACGUCCUACGGGAGAAAGCAGGGGAUCUUCGGACCUUGCGCUAAUAGAUGAGCCUAAGUCAGAUUAGCUAGUUGGUGGGGUAAAGGCCUACCAAGGCGACGAUCUGUAGCGGGUCUGAGAGGAUGAUCCGCCACACUGGGACUGAGACACGGCCCAGACUCCUACGGGAGGCAGCAGUGGGGAAUAUUGGACAAUGGGGGGAACCCUGAUCCAGCCAUGCCGCGUGUGUGAAGAAGGCCUUUUGGUUGUAAAGCACUUUAAGCGAGGAGGAGGCUCCUUUAGUUAAUACCUAAAGUGAGUGGACGUUACUCGCAGAAUAAGCACCGGCUAACUCUGUGCCAGCAGCCGCGGUAAUACAGAGGGUGCGAGCGUUAAUCGGAUUUACUGGGCGUAAAGCGUGCGUAGGUGGCCAAUUAAGUCAAAUGUGAAAUCCCCGAGCUUAACUUGGGA